UACGUAGGGUGCAGGUGUUAAUCGGAAUUACUGGGCGUAAAGCGUGCGCAGGCGGUUUCUUAAGUCAGAUGUGAAAGCCCCGGGCUUAACCUGGGAACUGCGUUUGAAACUGGGAGACUUGAGUGUGGCAGAGGGGGGUGGAAUUCCACGUGUAGCAGUGAAAUGCGUAGAUAUGUGGAGGAACACCAAUGGCGAAGGCAGCCCCCUGGGUCAACACUGACGCUCAUGCACGAAAGCGUGGGGAGCAAACAGG
rnacentral:rRNA from 1 species